CAACCAACUAUCGGCACAAAG
rnacentral:miRNA from 1 species